rnacentral:rRNA from 1 species
AUUGAACGCUGGCGGCAUGCCUUACACAUGCAAGUCGAACGGCAGCACGGGUGCUUGCACCUGGUGGCGAGUGGCGAACGGGUGAGUAAUACAUCGGAACAUGUCCUGUAGUGGGGGAUAGCCCGGCGAAAGCCGGAUUAAUACCGCAUACGAUCUACGGAUGAAAGCGGGGGACCUUCGGGCCUCGCGCUAUAGGGUUGGCCGAUGGCUGAUUAGCUAGUUGGUGGGGUAAAGGCCUACCAAGGCGACGAUCAGUAGAUGGUCUGAGAGGACGACCAGCCACACUGGGACUGAGACACGGCCCAGACUCCUACGGGAGGCAGCAGUGGGGAAUUUUGGACAAUGGGCGAAAGCCUGAUCCAGCAAUGCCGCGUGUGUGAAGAAGGCCUUCGGGUUGUAAAGCACUUUUGUCCGGAAAGAAAUCCUUGGCCCUAAUACAGUCGGGGGAUGACGGUACCGGAAGAAUAAGCACCGGCUAACUACGUG